rnacentral:rRNA from 1 species
UACGUAGGGCGCAAGCGUUGUCCGGAAUUAUUGGGCGUAAAGCGCUCGUAGGCGGCCUGUUACGUCUGCUGUGAAAUCCCGGGGCUUAACCCCGGGCGUGCAGUGGAUACGGGCAGGCUGGAGGCAGGCAGGGGAGAACGGAAUUCCCGGUGUAGCGGUGAAAUGCGCAGAUAUCGGGAGGAACACCGGUGGCGAAGGCGGUUCUCUGGGCCUGUACUGACGCUGAGGAGCGAAAGCGUGGGGAGCGAACAGG